AAAACUUUCAACAACGGAUCUCUUGGUUCUGGCAUCGAUGAAGAACGCAGCGAAAUGCGAUAAGUAAUGUGAAUUGCAGAAUUCAGUGAAUCAUCGAAUCUUUGAACGCACAUUGCGCCCGCCAGCACUCUGGCGGGCAUGCCUGUCCGAGCGUCAUUU
rnacentral:rRNA from 1 species